rnacentral:rRNA from 1 species
AUGGAUGCGGGGUGCUUACCAUGCAGUCGAACGGUGAAGGAGAGCUUGCUCUUUGGAUCAGUGGCGAACGGGUGAGUAACACGUGAGCAACCUGCCCCUGACUCUGGGAUAAGCGCUGGAAACGGCGUCUAAUACUGGAUAUGUGACGUGACCGCAUGGUCUGCGUCUGGAAAGAAUUUCGGUUGGGGAUGGGCUCGCGGCCUAUCAGCUUGUUGGUGAGGUAAUGGCUCACCAAGGCGUCGACGGGUAGCCGGCCUGAGAGGGUGACCGGCCACACUGGGACUGAGACACGGCCCAGACUCCUACGGGAGGCAGCAGUGGGGAAUAUUGCACAAUGGGCGCAAGCCUGAUGCAGCAACGCCGCGUGAGGGAUGACGGCCUUCGGGUUGUAAACCUCUUUUAGCAGGGAAGAAGCGAAAGUGACGGUACCUGCAGAAAAAGCGCCGGCUAACUACGUGCCAGCAGCCGCGGUAAUACGUAGGGCGCAAGCGUUAUCCGGAAUUAUUGGGCGUAAAGAGCUCGUAGGCGGUUUGUCGCGUCUGCUGUGAAAUCCGGAGGCUCAACCUCCGGCCUGCAGUGGGUACGGGCAGACUAGAGUGCGGUAGGGGAGAUUGGAAUUCCUGGUGUAGCGGUGGAAUGCGCAGAUAUCAGGAGGAACACCGAUGGCGAAGGCAGAUCUCUGGGCCGUAACUGACGCUGAGGAGCGAAAGGGUGGGGAGCAAACAGGCUUAGAUACCCUGGUAGUCCACCCCGUAAACGUUGGGAACUAGUUGUGGGGUCCAUUCCACGGAUUCCGUGACGCAGCUAACGCAUUAAGUUCCCCGCCUGGGGAGUACGGCCGCAAGGCUAAAACUCAAAGGAAUUGACGGGGACCCGCACAAGCGGCGGAGCAUGCGGAUUAAUUCGAUGCAACGCGAAGAACCUUACCAAGGCUUGACAUAUACGAGAACGGGCCAGAAAUGGUCAACUCUUUGGACACUCGUAAACAGGUGGUGCAUGGUUGUCGUCAGCUCGUGUCGUGAGAUGUUGGGGUUAAGUCCCGCAACGAGCGCAACCCUCGUUCUAUGUUGGCAGCACGUAAUGGUGGGGAACUCAUGGGGAUACUGGCCGGGGGUCAACUCCGGAAGA